UUGUCUUGGACUCUAGUCCUUGGCUGGACUGUAGAAGGUGAGAGGCAAGUCACCCUCCUCACAGACCUCUGCUUGGAGUAUUUAGGAUGACUGCUAUGAAAUGGAGAACAGUUUCAUCAUGACCAAAAAACCUCACUGGGCCUCUCCAGAGAACUGCAGACCUCACUGUCAGGCUCUUUCUGAUGACGCGUGUCUGUGUGCAUCGUGUUUCUGAGACCACAGUUUACCUCAGGCAAGGAAACAGGCUCUAAGAGGCUGAGGACUUUGCCCAGGAUGACAUAGCCAAUGGACAAGCUGUGUCUGUCAGCUGUGAAGGCUUCACUCUAAUUGUCCUUCUACCUUGAAUAGACAUUUUCCUGAUAAGAAUAAACAAGGAAAAGGUCUUUGCCUCCUGGAAGAACAAAUCUACCAGGUGAUCUAUUCAUUGUUUCAACUCAGAAUGCACUUGAUUCAGGAGGUCAUCUGACCUUCACCUUGGAUGGCCUGCUUCAGCGGAGUGUGGGGAGAAUGCUGAAAGGCAGCUCCUGUCAAAGUCCCUGCCCCGCUGGAUCGGACACAGGCUUAAAUUACUGCAGCGUUUGCACCCCUCUGUUCUAGGAUUACCUUGAUGUGUGAGGAAGCUGAUUUGGUAUUGGAAAGUAUUGUGGAGCUAGGAGGAAUCAAACUGCUCUAUUUUCUUCAUUUUCAAACUCACCUUGGGCAGGCACGUAAACACCAUUGUGCAGGC
rnacentral:sRNA from 1 species